rnacentral:rRNA from 1 species
UACGGAGGAUCCAAGCGUUUAUCCGGAUUUAUUGGGUUUAAAGGGUGCGUAGGUGGCUUUUUAAGUCAGGGGUGAAAGACGGUAGCUUAACUAUCGCAGUGCCUUUGAUACUGAAGAGCUUGAAUGAACUAGAGGUAGGCGGAAUGUGACAAGUAGCGGUGAAAUGCAUAGAUAUGUCACAGAACACCAAUUGCGAAAGGCAGCUUACUAUGGUUUGAUUGACACUGAGGCACGAAGCGUGGGGAUCAAACAGG